rnacentral:rRNA from 1 species
UACAGAGGGUGCGAGCGUCGUUCGGAAUUAUAGGGCGUAAAGCGCGUGUAGGCGGCCUGGCAAGUCGGGUGUGAAAGCCCUCAGCUUAACUGAGGAAGUGCGCCCGAAACUGCUAUGGCUUGAGUGCCGGAGAGGGUGGCGGAAUUCCCCAAGUAGAGGUGAAAUUCGUAGAUAUGGGGAGGAACACCGGUGGCGAAGGCGGCCACCUGGACGGUGACUGACGCUGAGACGCGAAAGCGUGGGGAGCAAACAGG